rfam:Sebaldella termitidis ATCC 33386, complete genome.
CCAUACUAGCCGGGGAAUUAGCGGUGCCCUGUAUCCACAACCCGCUCUAGUGGAGGUGAAUCUGAGCUUGAGGGGUAAUUUGGUAUAAAGCCUUCAGGCAGCGGCGUUGAGAAAAAAGUCCUAUAUUGCAGGAUGUCGGUGAAUCGUGUCAGGUCGGGAACGAAGCAGCACUAAGUCGAAAGUUUCUGGGUUUGUAGGGUAGCUUUUUUUGAGCCUUUGUCUGUCGAAACAUAUAUUGAGUUAUUUCGAGAGUUCGGUGUAUGG